UGGGGAAUUUUGGACAAUGGGCGAAAGCCUGAUCCAGCAAUGCCGCGUGUGUGAAGAAGGCCUUCGGGUUGUAAAGCACUUUUGUCCGGAAAGAAAUCCUUGGCUCUAAUACAGUCGGGGGAUGACGGUACCGGAAGAAUAAGCACCGGCUAACUACGUGCCAGCAGCCGCGGUAAUACGUAGGGUGCAAGCGUUAAUCGGAAUUACUGGGCGUAAAGCGUGCGCAGGCGGUUUGCUAAGACCGAUGUGAAAUCCCCGGGCUCAACCUGGGAACUGCAUUGGUGACUGGCAGGCUAGAGUAUGGCAGAGGGGGGUAGAAUUCCACGUGUAGCAGUGAAAUGCGUAGAGAUGUGGAGGAAUACCGAUGGCGAAGGCAGCCCCCUGGGCCAAAUACUGACGCUCAUGCACGAAAGCGUGGGGGAGCAAAACAGGAUUAGAUACCCUGGUAGUCCACGCCCUAAACGAUGUCAACUAGUUGUUGGGGAUUCAUUUCCUUAGUAACGUAGCUAACGCGUGAAGUUGACCGCCUGGGGAGUACGGUCGCAAGAUUAAAACUCAAAGGAAUUGACGGGGUCAUAGCUGUUUCCU
rnacentral:rRNA from 1 species